GACGAACGCUGGCGGCGUGCUUAACACAUGCAAGUCGAGCGGUAAGGCCCUUUCGGGGGUACACGAGCGGCGAACGGGUGAGUAACACGUGGGUGACCUGCCCUUAGCUCUGGGAUAAGCCUGGGAAACUGGGUCUAAUACCGGAUAUGACCUCAUGACUCAUGUUGUGGGGUGGAAAGCCUUGUGCGGCUAGGGAUGGGCCCGCGGCCUAUCAGCUUGUUGGUGGGGUAAUUGCCUACCAAGGCGACGACGGGUAGCCGGCCUGAGAGGGCGACCGGCCACACUGGGACUGAGACACGGCCCAGACUCCUACGGGAGGCAGCAGUGGGGAAUCUUGCGCAAUGGGACGAAAGCCUGACGCAGCGACGCCGCGUGA
rnacentral:rRNA from 1 species